GACGAACGCUGGCGGCGUGCUUAACACGUGCAAGUCGAACGGAAAGGCCCUGCUUGCAGGGUGCUCGAGUGGCGAACGGGUGAGUAACACGUGGGUGAUCUGCCCCUUACUUUGGGAUAAGCCUGGGAAACUGGGUCUAAUACUGGAUAGGACCAUGCUGUAGGUGGUGUGGUGGAAAGAUUAGUUUCGGUAAGGGAUGAGCUCGCGGCCUAUCAGCUUGUUGGUGGGGUAAUGGCCUAGCAAGGCGUCGACGGGUAGCCGGCCUGAGAGGGUGGACGGCCCCAUUGAGACUGAGAUGCGGCCCAGACGCCUACGGGAGGCAGCAGUGGGGAAUAUUGCACAAUGGGCACACGCCUGAUGCAGCGACGCCGCGCGGGUGAUGACGGCCUUCGGGUUGUAAACUCCUUUCAGCCAUGACGAAGCCCUUGUGGUGACGGUAGUGGUAGAAGAAGCACCGGCUAACUACGUG
rnacentral:rRNA from 1 species